AGAGUUUGAUCCUGGCUCAGGACGAACGCUGGCGGCGUGCCUAAUACAUGCAAGUCGAGCGAGCUUGCCUAGAUGAUUUUAGUGCUUGCACUAAAUGAAACUAGAUACAAGCGAGCGGCGGACGGGUGAGUAACACGUGGGUAACCUGCCCAAGAGACUGGGAUAACACCUGGAAACAGAUGCUAAUACCGGAUAACAACACUAGACGCAUGUCUAGAGUUUGAAAGAUGGUUCUGCUAUCACUCUUGGAUGGACCUGCGGUGCAUUAGCUAGUUGGUAAGGUAACGGCUUACCAAGGCAAUGAUGCAUAGCCGAGUUGAGAGACUGAUCGGCCACAUUGGGACUGAGACACGGCCCAAACUCCUACGGGAGGCAGCAGUAGGGAAUCUUCCACAAUGGACGAAAGUCUGAUGGAGCAACGCCGCGUGAGUGAAGAAGGGUUUCGGCUCGUAAAGCUCUGUUGGUAGUGAAGAAAGAUAGAGGUAGUAACUGGCCUUUAUUUGACGGUAAUUACUUAGAAAGUCACGGCUAACUACGUGCCAGCAGCCGCGGUAAUACGUAGGUGGCAAGCGUUGUCCGGAUUUAUUGGGCGUAAAGCGAGUGCAGGCGGUUCAAUAAGUCUGAUGUGAAAGCCUU
rnacentral:rRNA from 1 species